CUUCAAGGACCCCAGCCACAGGGGUCGUUCCGCGUCCCGCUCCUGCCCGUAGGUGGCCAACAGCGCCUGCGCCUC
rnacentral:antisense_RNA from 23 species